rnacentral:lncRNA from 1 species
UCCACGGUGGUUUCUGCGUGCCCAGAGUUCCCAGUCUGGGCUGACUCUGACCCCGAGGGAACAGGGCCAAGAACAUAGGUGGUCAUGACCUCCCUGACUUCUCAAGGAGGUGAGAACCCCCCAAAAGAAGGUGAUCACAUCUUCCCUGACUGCUCAAAAAAGGAGUGAAAACACCAUAAAAAGAGGUCUGAAGAUCAUAAUCAUUAACAGAGAAAACAGAAGUAAACAUAUAGAAUAAUGGAAAGAUGGACAAAAAUGCUAUCAUUUGUUAUUAUUAAAGCAAUCAAUAAUUAAUUUCAAGAAAUAAAUUAUUAAAGUAAUC